rnacentral:rRNA from 1 species
CUGCGGCGUGCCUACCAUGUAAGUCGGGCGAUCUGUUCGCAAGAGCAGAGAGCGGCGGAAGGGUGAGUAACACGUAGGAGACCUGCCUCAUCGCAGGGAACAACCCCGCGAAAGCGGGGCUAAUACCCAAGAGGGUCGGUGGUUCGCUCCACCGGUCAGAGUGCCUGCGCAAGCGGGCGCGUGAUGAGAGGGUCCUGCGGCCCAUCAGCUAGUUGGUAGGGUAGUGGCCUACCAAGGCAACGACGGGUAGGGGGUCUGAGAGGACGAUCCCCCACACUGGAACUGAAACACGGUCCAGACGCCUACGGGUGGCAGCAGGGAGGAAUAUUGGGCAAUGGGCGAAAGCCUGACCCAGCAACGCCGCGUGGAGGACGAAGGCCUUCGGGUCGUAAACUCCUUUUGAGGGAGACGAGCAAGGACGGUAUCCCUCGAAUAAGCCACGGCUAACUACGUGCCAGCAGCCGCGGUAAAACGUAGGUGGCGAGCGUUAUCCGGAUUCAUUGGGCGUAAAGAGCUUGUAGGUGGUCUGGUAAGUUGGACGUGAAAACUCCGGGCUUAACUUGGAGAGGCCGUUCAAUACUGCGGGACUGGAGGAUGUCAGAGGGGAGUGGAAUUCCUGGUGUAGCAGUGAAAUGCGUAGAUAUCAGGAGGAACACCCGUGGCGAAGGCGGCUCCCUGGGGCAUCCCUGACACUGAGAAGCGAAAGCUAGGGGAGCAAACGGGAUUAGAAACCCCGGUAGUCCUAGCCGUAAACGAUGGGUGGCUGGGUGUGCGCGGAUCUAACCCCGCGCG